rnacentral:rRNA from 1 species
GACGAACGCUGGCGGCGUGCUUAACACAUGCAAGUCGAACGGAAAGGCCCUGCUUUUGUGGGGUGCUCGAGUGGCGAACGGGUGAGUAACACGUGAGUAACCUGCCCUUGACUUUGGGAUAACUUCAGGAAACUGGGGCUAAUACCGGAUAGGAGCUCCUGCUGCAUGGUGGGGGUUGGAGAGUUUCGGCGGUUGGGGAUGGACUCGCGGCUUAUCAGCUUGUUGGUGGGGUAGUGGCUUACCAAGGCUUUGACGGGUAGCCGGCCUGAGAGGGUGACCGGCCACAUUGGGACUGAGAUACGGCCCAGACUCCUACGGGAGGCAGCAGUGGGGAAUAUUGCACAAUGGGCGGAAGCCUGAUGCAGCAACGCCGCGUGCGGGAUGACGGCCUUCGGGUUGUAAACCGCUUUCGCCUGUGACGAAACGUGAGUGACGGUAAUGGGUAAAGAAGCACCGGCUAACUACGUG